UUACCCACUUGGGAUGCCCCAAAUAAGUACCAAACUAGGUUUUGGUCGUGCUUCAUGAGGGGAUAUUCCCAAUACAAGUAAGAAUACUCAUAUCUCAUCCAAAAUAGAUUCGAUUCAAAUCUGAUUCAAAGCUGGUUCGAAAUAAUUUUGAAAGAUUGUUAAUCCCAAACUCUUUAGGAUUUUUGUACCAAAUCUAACUUAGAUUUUGAACCCAUUUAUGU
rnacentral:lncRNA from 1 species